rnacentral:rRNA from 1 species
UACGAAGGGGGCAAGCGUUGUUCGGAAUCAUUGGGCGUAAAGCGCGUGUAGGAUGUCUAUUAAGUCGGGUGUGAAAUCCCUGGGCUCAACCGAGGAAGUGCAUUCGAAACUGAUAGACUAGAAGGUGGUAGAGGAAGGUGGAAUUCCAAGUGUAGAGGUGAAAUUCGUAGAUAUUUGGAGGAAUACCGGUGGCGAAGGCGGCCUUCUGGGCCACCCUUGACUCUGAGACGCGAAAGCGUGGGUAGCAAACAGG